UCUCCUAUAGCUCAGUUGGUAGAGCGUGUGGACUGUUAACCGCAAGGUCGCCGGUUCGAACCCGGCUGGAGAGAA
rnacentral:tRNA from 1 species